rnacentral:rRNA from 1 species
UUGGUUAGGUUUUAAGUUCGAGUGGUACGCGAGGUAACCUUUACCAGGGCUUGACAUACGCCGGAAGCGCAUCGAAAGGUGCGUGCCGCUUGCGGCCGGCGUACAGGUGCUGCAUGGCUGUCGUCAGCUCGUGCUGUGAAGUGUUGGGUUAAGUCCCGCAACGAGCGCAACCCCUGCUGCCUGUUGCCACCACGAGAGGUGGGGACUCAGGCGGGACCGCCGGUGACAAACCGGAGGAAGGUGGGACGACGUCAAGUCAUCAUGGCCCUUAUGUCCUGGGCUACACACGUGCUACAAUGGCCGGUACAGAGCGCAGCGAGGCCGCGAGGCGGAGCGAAUCGCUUAAAGCCGGUCCCAGUACGGAUUGGAGUCUGCAACCCGACUCCAUGAAGUUGGAAUCGCUAGUAAUCGCGCAUCAGCAUGGCGCGGUGAAUACGUUCCCGGGCCUU